rnacentral:rRNA from 1 species
CAGCCGCCGCGGGAAUACGAAGGGGACUAGCGUUGUUCGGAUUUACUGGGCGUAAAGGGCGCGUAGGCGGACUGAUAAGUCAGGGGUGAAAUCCCAAGGCUCAACCUUGGAACUGCCUUUGAUACUGUUUGUCUUGAGUUCGAGAGAGGUAAGUGGAACUGCGAGCGUAGAGGUGGAAUUCGUAGAUAUUCGCAAGAACACCAGUGGCGAAGGCGGCUUACUGGCUCGAAACUGACGCUGAGGCGCGAAAGCGUGGGGAGCAAACAGGAUUAGAUACCCCCGUAGUCCCUGUCUCUUAUAA